UACGUAGGGUGCAAGCGUUGUCCGGAAUUAUUGGGCGUAAAGAGCUCGUAGGCGGUUUUGUCGCGUCUGCUGUGAAAACGCGAGGCUCAACCUCGCGCCUGCAGUGGGUACGGGGCAGACUAGAGUGCGGUAGGGGAGAUUGGAAUUCCUGGUGUAGCGGUGGAAUGCGCAGAUAUCAGGAGGAACACCGGUGGCGAAGGCGGCAUCCUGGACCAAUUCUGACGCUGAGGAGCGAAAGCCAGGGGAGCAAACGGG
rnacentral:rRNA from 1 species